rnacentral:rRNA from 1 species
UACAGAGGUCUCAAGCGUUGUUCGGAUUCAUUGGGCGUAAAGGGCGCGUUGGCGGCGAGGUAAGUCUGGUGUGAAAUCUAGGAGCUCAACUCCUAAACUGCACUGGAUACUGCUUUGCUUGAGGACUGGAGAGGAGAUUGGAAUUCACGGUGUAGCAGUGAAAUGCGUAGAUAUCGUGAGGAAGACCAGUGGCGAAGGCGGAUCUCUGGACAGUUCCUGACGCUGAGGCGCGAAGGCCAGGGGAGCAAACGGG